UACGGGGGGAGCAAGCGUUGUUCGGAUUUACUGGGCGUAAAGGGCGCGUAGGCGGCCACCGCAAGUCGGUUGAUGAAAUCUCGUGGGCUUAACCCAGAAAGGUCAACCGAUACUGCGGGGGCUAGAGUGCAGAAGGGGCAACUGGAAUUCUCGGUGUAGCGGUGAAAUGCGUAGAUAUCGAGAGGAACACCUGCGGCGAAGGCGGGUUGCUGGGCUGACACUGACGCUGAAGCGCGAAAGCUAGGGGAGCGAACGGG
rnacentral:rRNA from 1 species